GAUGAACGCUGGCGGCGUGCCUAAUACAUGCAAGUCGAGCGAAUGGAUUAAGAGCUUGCUCUUAUGAAGUUAGCGGCGGACGGGUGAGUAACACGUGGGUAACCUGCCCAUAAGACUGGGAUAACUCCGGGAAACCGGGGCUAAUACCGGAUAACAUUUUGAACCGCAUGGUUCGAAAUUGAAAGGCGGCUUCGGCUGUCACUUAUGGAUGGACCAGCGUCGCAUUAGGUAGUUGGUGAGGUAACGGCUCACCAAGGCAACGAUGCGUAGCCGACCUGAGAGGGUGAUCGGCCACACUGGGACUGAGACACGGCCCAGACUCCUACGGGAGGCAGCAGUAGGGAAUCUUCCGCAAUGGACGAAAGUCUGACGGAGCAACGCCGCGUGAGUGAUGAAGGCUUUCGGGUCGUAAAACUCUGUUGUUAGGGAAGAACAAGUGCUAGUUGAAUAAGCUGGCACCUUGGCGGUACCUAACCGGAAAGCCACGGCUAACUACGUGCCAGCAGCCGCAGUAA
rnacentral:rRNA from 1 species